rnacentral:rRNA from 1 species
UACGGAGGGUGCAAGCGUUAUCCGGAUUUACUGGGUUUAAAGGGUGCGUAGGUGGGUAGGAAAGUCAGUGGUGAAAUCUUCGGGCUUAACCCGGAAACUGCCAUUGAUACUAUUUAUCUUGAAUACUUUGGAGGUAAGCGGAAUAUGUCAUGUAGCGGUGAAAUGCUUAGAUAUGACAUAGAACACCGAUUGCGAAGGCAGCUUACUACACAGUUAUUGACACUGAGGCACGAAAGCGUGGGGAUCAAACAGG